GUGGAAGUAAAUAAUACACAAGCAUCCCAAAUGACAGCCAGUGAUAAGGUGCUUAAACAAAGGAGUAAAAUUCAAACAGGGGUGAACUCAAGAUAUUUGUACGGGUUUGUGUUUAAUAGACAGAGACACGAUGAAAGGCUAAAACGGGGUGGUGAGCAAAAAUCCGUGGUAAUUCUUUCUCACAACCCAUUCUCUAGUGUUUUUCGACCUUUGCUGCAGAUCAUGGGCCCAUUGUACUUUGACAUUGGGAAGAAAGCCCUCAAUUUCAUUGCUUCUUAUGUAUCAAUGUGGCCUGUUCCUGUACCUGGUCAGUUAAUGGAGCU
rnacentral:misc_RNA from 1 species